rnacentral:rRNA from 1 species
UGAGGAAUAUUGCGCAAUGGAGGCAACUCUGACGCAGCCAUGCCGCGUGCAGGAAGAAGGCGCUACGCGUUGUAAACUGCUUUUAUCCGGGAAGAAACCCUCCGACGUGUCGGAGGUUGACGGUACCGGAGGAAUAAGCACCGGCUAACUUCGUGCCAGCAGCCGCGGUAAUACGAAGGGUGCAAGCGUUAUCCGGAUUCAUUGGGUUUAAAGGGUGCGUAGGCGGAGUGUUAAGUCAGUGGUGAAAUCC